UGCCAGCAGCCGCGGUAAUACGGAGAGUGCAAGCGUUGUUCGGAAUCAUUGGGCUUAAAGCGCGUGUAGGCGGGAUGUCAGGUAUCUUGUGAAAGCCCCGGGCUCAACUCGGGAAUCGCAGGGUAAACCGACAUUCUUGAGGCAGGUAGAGGUGACUGGAACAACUGGUGGAGCGGUGAAAUGCGUAGAUAUCAGUUGGAACGCCGGAGGCGAAAGCGAGUCGCUGGACCUGUCCUGACGCUGAGACGCGAAAGCGUGGGUAGCGAACAGGAUUAGAUA
rnacentral:rRNA from 1 species